AGAACCGCUGCCUCGCUCCCGGAAGUGGAGGGUCUACACGAAGAGCCGCUGGGUCUGGGUGCCCGGAGGCAGCAGCGUUCGCGGAGUUCGCCCGCUGGCCCCCGAUCGCCAUGUCGGCUUUCGACACCAACCCCUUCGCGGACCCAGUGGAUGUAAACCCCUUCCAGGAUCCCUCUGUGACCCAGCUGACCAAUGCCCCGCAGGGCGGCCUGGCGGAAUUCAACCCCUUCUCAGAGACAAAUGCAGCGACAACAGUUCCUGUCACACAACUCCCUGGGUCCUCGCAGCCAGCGGUUCUCCAGCCAUCAGUGGAACCAACCCAGCCGACCCCCCAGGUACUGCUGAUAAAGAACUCUGGCCUUUUCUCUCCAGUGAGGGAAUCACCCAGACCAGUAGCUGAGCCCUGAGGCUGGGGGCAAGCAGAGAGCUUUCAGCUUUGGCCCCCUAAGGGCCCUCUUGCUAAUUUGUUCGGAGCUGGUCACCUACAAGUAGAGGGGCUGCUCUGCCAAUUAAUAUCCUUACUCCCUCCAUCCCACCCACCACCACCACUGAGAAAUAAGCUCUACUCACCAGGCCGGGCUCCUUGGUGCCUCCAGAGAGGGCAUUUGUCCCUGUUGUACCCCUCCAGGUCCUCCUCGGGCCUUUGGCUUGUUCUCUCUUCCUUGGGGCCCAGAAUCUCUCCUUUUUUUAACUUCAUUACUUCUCACCUUCCUUCCUGUCUUCCUUUGUCCCUUCACCAAAUACUGUGGAUCUUGCCUGCUUUGUGCCUGGUGCUCCACUGCACCGCCUCACUGCCCUCCCGCCGCGCUCCUCGCUGCCCCUAUGAGCGUGACCCAUGGUGGAGUUAUGUGUUGCAGCUCCUGCUUAGACAGGCCAGCAAGUUCCCGCCUGCCCAAUUCCUGGCAGUGAGCGAGCUCUCAGAGAGGCAGAUGCUCCUAGGAGGAGAAAGUAUUCUCAGAGACAGCUACAUGCGAAAGCUUCCGAAGGUAGGCCUAGUGUAGAUGAGCAGGAAGAAGGGCAGGGCACCCGGAGCCUGCCCCGCACCCCUCCCAGGCCCCAGAGCCUGUGGAGGUGAGGCAGGCCUUACAUGCGGAGGUGCCUUUCUGUGCAGCUGGGUGGUGGGCUGUAGGGAGCUGGGUCCUUCUCAACUGACGUCACAGAUUUGGAGGAGGCCAAGACCCCCAGCGUGGCACAGCGGGGUCAGUUCUGCUCCUGCUUCUGCCCCCCGUGCCUGAAACUUGCCUCUCCAAGGCAGCCUUAGGUCUUUGAAGAGCUUUUGGAGAGGUUGGUGUGUGUAUACAUGUGUGUGUGUACACAUGUGCCUGGUCUGUCAUCCUGUGAGAUGACCAGUUUGAGAUCUGUCCCUAAAAAGGACUGUAGUCUCAUCCUUCAGGAGGAACCUGGCCCAAAUGGCAGCAGCUGCCAGCAGGUGCAGGGCCAUGGGGCCAGGUCUGUUCAGCCUCACAUACAGUCAGUCCCUUACUGUUACUCAGAGGCUCUACCCCACCUGGAGAGGAGAUAAGUGUGGACUCUGCACGCCACUAAAGCCAGGCAGGGCAGGGCCACACCUAAGGGGCUAUCCUGGGGUGUAGCCAGUGGCAGUUUAGGGGGACCUCAGGAGGCAGCUCCUGGGGGCAGGCCAUGGGGCAGGGUGCUUGUACAGAUCCUGAGGCUCAGGCACACGCCAUCUGCCCUCACAUGUCUCCCCUUUCCACUCACUGCUAGCAGGCUUGCACUGUUUUCCUUCUCACACAUACACCAGGCUCUUCAAAUGAGGCUUGGGUCUGUGGGUUUCUUGUUAUAGUUUAGUUUCUUGUGAGGUCUUUUUCCCAAAGGUCACAAUCACUGAGCUCUGCCUUGAUACAGUACGGGGAAGAGGUGGAGAAGCCACUGGGUAUAGUUUUCCCAACUCAAGCUUAGGGAUGAGGGGAGGAGAGCCUAGUCAUGGCCAAAGGGUCAGGAAGGUGUGGGGGCAGUGCAAGACAGGUUGGCCUCUCUAAGGUGGUCUCUGGUACCUAAGAUACUCUGUGGGGUGGUAACUGUUUCUGGGACUCCUUGCUGGCUGCCCCUGCCUGGGGCAUGGCCUCUCUGCCUGCCUACCCAGGCUGACACUGUUUCUGUUUGUUGUGUCUGGCUGUCCCUGUACCUCCCCUGUUCUCUCCAGGCCGUGGUGUCUGCGGCCCAGGCAGGCCUGCUCCGGCAGCAGGAAGAACUGGACAGGAAAGCUGCCGAGCUGGAACGCAAGGAGCGGGAGCUGCAGAACACUGUAGCCAACUUGCAGGUGAGACAGAACAACUGGCCCCCCCUGCCCUCGUGGUGCCCUGUGAAGCCCUGCUUCUAUCAAGAUUUCUCCACAGAGAUCCCUGCCGACUACCAGCGGAUAUGCAAGAUGCUCUACUAUCUGUGGAUGUUGCAUUCAGUGACUCUGUUUCUGAACCUGCUUGCCUGCCUGGCCUGGUUCUCGGGCAACAGCUCCAAGGGAGUGGACUUUGGCCUCUCCAUCCUGUGGUUUCUGAUCUUCACUCCUUGUGCCUUCCUUUGUUGGUACCGACCCAUCUAUAAGGCCUUUAGGUCCGACAACUCUUUCAGCUUCUUUGUGUUCUUCUUUGUGUUUUUUUGUCAAAUAGGGAUCUACAUCAUCCAGUUGGUUGGCAUCCCUGGCCUGGGGGACAGCGGUUGGAUUGCAGCCCUGUCUACACUGGAUAAUCAGUCCCUGGCCAUAUCAGUCAUCAUGAUGGUGGUGGCUGGCUUCUUCACCCUCUGUGCCGUGCUCUCAGUCUUCCUCCUGCAGCGGGUGCACUCCCUCUACCGCCGGACAGGGGCCAGCUUCCAGCAGGCCCAGGAGGAGUUUUCCCAGGGCAUCUUCAGCAGCAGAACCUUCCACAGAGCUGCUUCAUCUGCUGCCCAAGGAGCCUUCCAGGGGAAUUAGUCCUUCUCUCUCUCUUCUCUCCCCCUCAGCCUUUCUCUCACCUGCCUUCUGAGCUGCACUUUCCGUGGGUGCCUUAUGUGGUGGUGGUUGUGCCCAGCACAGACCUGGCAGGGUUCUUGCCGUGGCUCUUCCUCCUCCCUCAGCGACCAGCUCUCCCUGGAACGGGAGGGACAGGAACUUUUUUCCCCCUCUAUGUACAAAAAAAACAAAGCUCUCUUUCCUUCUCUGGUG
rnacentral:sRNA from 1 species